rnacentral:rRNA from 1 species
GACGAACGCUGGCGGCGUGCCUAACACAUGCAAGUCGAACGGAAACGCCCUGCUUUUGUGCGCUGCUCGAGUGGCGAACGGGUAAGUAACACGUGAGUAACCUACCCUUCACUUUGGGAUGAGUUCAGGACACUGGAGCUAAUCCCGGAUAGGAUCUCCUGCUGCAUGGUGGGGGUUGGAAAGUUUCGGCGGUUGGGGUUGGACUCGCCGCUUAUCAGCUUGUUGGUGUGGUAGUGUCUUACCAAGGCCAGGACCGGUAGCCGACCUGGGAGGGUGAGCUGCCCCAUUACGCCUGAGAUACGACACAGACUCGAAUGGGAGGCAAGGGUGGAGAGUAUAAUACAGUGGGAGGAAGGCUGGUGCGGCCACGCAGUGUGCGGGAAGACGGCCUUCGGGUAGUGAACUGAAUUUGCCUGUGACGAAGCGUUAGUGACGGUAAUGGGUAAAGAAGCACCGGCUAACUACGUG